GAUGAACGCUGACAGAAUGCUUAACACAUGCAAGUCGAUGGGGAAGUGGUGCUUGCACCAUGGUAACCAUGGCGGACGGGUGAGUAACGCGUAAGGAACUUGCCUGCGGGACUGGGAUAACAGCAGGAAACUGCUGAUAAUACCGGAUAAGGUCAUUAAGCUGCAUAGCUUAGUGAUGAAAGGAGACGCCUGCGGAGAGCCUUGCGUCCUAUUAGCUAGUUGGAGGGGUAACGGCCCACCAAGGCGAAGAUAGGUAGCCGGCCUGAGAGGGUGGACGGCCACAAGGGGACUGAGAUACGGCCCUUACUCCUACGGGAGGCAGCAGUGGGGAAUAUUGGACAAUGGGGGCAACACUGAUCCAGCAAUUCUGUGUGCACGAAGACGGUUUUCGGAUUGUAAAGUGCUUUCAGCAGGGAAGAAGGAAGUGACGGUACCUGCAGAAGAAGCGACGGCUAAAUACGUG
rnacentral:rRNA from 1 species